AUGAGAAAUGUACAACCUGUUUAUAUAUGUAUGUAUCAAGAGAAAAAAAACUUUUUGUCUUUCUUGAGAACAACAAACAUCAGAAUCAUAAAUACUUUAUUGAUCUUCAGGAAAUUCUCUCCAGACAAUGAUAAGACCGACAUAUUACAAAGAAGGUUUUAUUGUUUGGAAGCACAACCCACGCCCAUCUCCUCAUCGGUUGAGGACACGAUGGAGAAGGGUUCAGGUAAAAGCACAUGUAAGAAAGAGGAAGAGGAGAAGGCAGUAGACGCUGGUGAGGCCUCCUCUUCUGAGAAGACGUGCAGAAGUCCGCUGCACAAAACAAGGGGCAAAUGGAGACAAAGGACGGAAGAGAGAGGACUCCACCAGAAGAAAUUGACGCUUUGGGUCAAGUUCUGCAGGAGCUGAACGUUUCAGAGACCCAAGAAGAACAAAUACCGCAGAGCUCAGGAGGAAAUGCCAGUGCUGCAGUAGGAAAUGUCAGUGCUGU
rnacentral:lncRNA from 15 species